AGCAGGAGGAGGGGAUUAGUGACUGUUUAAUCUCCUUGGGCCUCACCCCUCAUUCCAGUCCCUGCUUCUUAGCAUAGAAAGAGGGGGUGAUUGCUGGCAGGGAGGGGCUGAUCUAGGUGCAGGUGCUCUGGAACCCAGGGGGACACGAGGGCCAACACACUCUCAGGUAGUGGAGAGCAUCAUUUUCUGCUGGUGGAAUCUCAGGGGCUUUAGAACAAGGUUCUUUGCUCUGAGUUCUGAGCAGCUUGGAUAAAUGCUAUUUUGAGGUAACUAGAGGGCAGUUUAGGACCCUUCUUCAACUGUUUGGAUACUUUUUUGGGAUUAACAAGAAGUCAACUGCAUGGAAUCCCUUCAGUGGAGAACUCGGUCCUCAUCAGCCUGCCCUGUCCUUCUCCCAGCUGUGAGGCUGACCAUGCUGGGGUUCCAUGCCCCUGGGGACAGGCUGUGCUCUGCAGCCCGCCUUCCCCUGCAGCAGUCCUGCAGCCCAGCAGCUGCUCUUGCAAGGUGACUCCCUCCAGGCUGUGAAAACAGUUGACACAGGGCUGUGGCCGCAGCUCUGCCUCCAAGGUGCUCUCUCCCCCAGGAAACAAGGUGGGACUGCUUUCCUGGGAUUGCGCCUGGGCUUCAAUGGCCCAGAGGCUGCUCACUGUGCGACUACCUCAGUACCCUGAGAGAAGACUGGAACAGCAUUGGCCAUGUGUCUCCCCAGGACAGCAUAACUAAGGCAAGAUGUGUUUUUAUAUAAACAAUUUAAAUGAGGCCUGGUUUACAUUUGUUUAAGAUCAGGAGUGGCUUCAACAAAGCACCUGGCACUCAGGUGCUGGACUUUGAUAACAGCUCUUAAGUUACACCAGUGUAUCUCUUAGGCACUGCAGAGAAAGUUGAAACAAAACCAGCAAACAGAUUUUGACCCAUCUUUGUAAGUUUUGGUGUUCAGGUGAAAUAAAUAUGAUUAGUCCCACAAUAAGAGGAAAACCCAGAUGGGUGUGGGUCCUUGGUGGGGUUUGAGAUGUUCACAUCCGGGAACCACCAGCCAACAGAGACCCCAACAAAGAGAUUUUUUUGGGGGGGCACCUGCCUGGAAGGCCGGUGUCCAUCUGACAGGUGACAGCACCACCUAGCAAGUACGGGCUUCCUAGGCCAGGCCAGAACCACCAUCGGCCUCACUCCUUCCUUGUCUGCAGGAGGAAGACAGGGCUUUUUGAAGUGCUGGGUGUGGCUGAGGCUGAACCAGCAGGACCAGGAACAGGGUCCUUGGAGAGCCCAGUCACCCUACUUCCUGGCUAUUCCAUACCAGGGGCCAACUGGUCACUUGAUUUUACAUCAGUUUUCUUCUCCACAAAAUGGACAUUAUCAGUUUUUUUAAAAGAUAUUUUUUAGUUGUCAAUGGAACUUUAUUUUACUUAUUUAUAUGUGGUGCUGAGAAUCAAACCCAGGGCCUCACACAUGCUAGUCAAGCACUUUACCACUGAGCCACAACCCAGCCCCGACGUUAUCAGUUCUGAGGAGGCUUUCCCUGGCUGCAUUUGCCCUGAAGUCUGUUCUCAUUUUUAAAGUUUAUUAAAAUAGUAAGAGCAGUCUUACAUGAAAGGUAAAGACCAUGUGGCCACAUCCACGGUGGAUGGUGGCUCACCUGUGUCUCCAGCCUGUGGCUCUCCUUGAGGUCUAGAGUCAGAAGCAGAAGCUCACCCACCCUGAGGGACAAGAACCCACAAGGGUUGUAGGGUUAUGCAGUCAUAUGUAACAAUAAUGAUGAGACCACAAUUGCAGGCAGGUAUUCACAGACAUUUAUUUUAAACCAUGGAGGCAACUCUGCAUGAGAGUCUUAACGUUGGUAAUGGCUACAUGUACAUAUUAGAGGUUAGAGGGCGGCACAGUGGGGAAAUGAGCAGAGUGAACACACUCACAAUGCUCAGCAGCAAUGAAUGGAGGGCUGGAUGCAGGCAUCUCAACAUCACAGGACCUUCUUGCUCAGACCACUUCAUCAGGAGGUCAAUGUCAGGACUGAUUGGGUUGGUUGGGGGAAUCCGUGGCAUGCAGCACGGGAGGUUGGCCAGAACCACCCUGGAGAGAGCUGGUCCAGCUUCAGGCUUAUGACAUCCUCAGCCUGACCCCUCGAAGAAUCUCAUUCCAGAAAAAGGAAAAAGAAACCAUAAAGUAACAUGCCUGCUGCAGCCAGGUCCAGAUGUGGGCCACAGCCUGAUGGCCAGGCAGCACGGAAAAGCAACCCUGGUUAUGAACACAGUGGUGGGCAGGCACUGAUGUGGGGCUAGCUAGCACCUUCCCUGUUGUCCAGUUAGGAACAGUUUUUA